CUCAAUUGUCUCUCCAUCCACAUUGGCAAGCAUCGCAUGAACAAUAUCCUUGGAUACAAAAUACAGAGGUAUGCGUCCCCCUGCCAAUUCGAUCAUUCCAGUUUGCACUUCGUCAAGAAAAGCAAGUGUGUGGAACAAUAUUGGGUCAUGCAGAAAUAGAAGUUCACACUUAAAUAAGUCAUGACUUUGGUGCAACUCAGUGGAUUUGGCAAUUAACUCUGAAUGCAAAUUUGUUGUUACAACUGUGUCUUCCACAAUAGUUAACACGUCUUGGAUAAGUGUUCUU